GAGAGACAUGCAUGAUAUUUGAUAUUUUUUUAUUUUUCCUAGCAAUUUAGAUUGAUUUUUUACCCAACUUACUUGGCUCAUAUGGACUCUAAUUAAUUUGUAUAUUUACCUUGUCAUUUUUGGUUCAUAGCUCUUUUAUGUUAUUUUUAAGCUCUAAGUCUAGAAUAAUAUACAUUUGUACAAAAAAUCAGACAGUUCCUUCAAUAUUUAUAUGUGAAAUAAUAUCUUGGUGCAAAUAUACCUUUUCUUUUCAAAGACCACAUUUUAGGUCAUGGAUGUAUACAAAAAGAAGACAUGAAUCUUCCUAGAUAGAAGAUGUGAAUGGCUUUAUUGAAGCCGUUAAAAGACACACUUUCAUUAAGCAGACAAAACAUAUAUAUUAUUCCUGUUGUGACUGUUGGAACUGUAUAGGAUACCAUGAUCCAAAUAUGAUAAAAUCACACUAAGUAAGAAGGGGUUUUAUGGAGAACUACACAAUCUGGGAUCAUCAUGGUGAGAGACGUAUAGAAGCAAAGCAACUAGGAACUAGGAAGUGAUUGGACAUUAGAAGUAAGUGAAGAUUAUUGUGGUGGUGACAUCGGCUUUGGUGGGAAGGAUGAUGGUUGAAAGCAUCUAGGCCUCUAGUGGGUUCCAGUGAUUAAUGACAAUCUAAGAUUAUUAUGAGUAACAUGUGUUUUGCAGAGGCAACUUGAGUUAGGUCAG
rnacentral:lncRNA from 1 species